UACAGAGGUCCCAAGCGUUGUUCGGAUUCAUUGGGCGUAAAGGGUGUGUAGGUGGCGCCGUAAGUCGGGUGUGAAAUUUCGGAGCUUAACUCCGAAACUGCAUUCGAUACUGCGGUGCUUGAGGACUGGAGAGGAGACUGGAAUUCAUGGUGUAGCGGUGAAAUGCGUAGAUAUCGUAAGGAAGACCAGUGGCGAAGGCGGGUCUCUGGACAGUUCCUGACACUGAGGCACGAAGGCCAGGGGAGCAAACGGG
rnacentral:rRNA from 1 species